CUCACUGCCUGGAGGCUGCAGCUGGGCCUUUGAGGGGAUGAGAGGCAAAUCCUGCAAGGAGCUGGAGCCUCUUCUCCUGCUAACGGCCCUCCCUGACACACCUGGCCCAGCUGUAAAAGUUUCUUUUCCCUUAAGUGUUUCCUUAAGGAAUAGUUUCAUCCUUUCAUAUUGCUGUAUGACAGCAGAUAGUAAGAACCAAGUGGCUGCAUUGCUGAUUUUCAUUGCAGCCAAAUGGUUUGAAAUGAAGCCUGUAGGUCUAUCUGUGUAUGUGUUUGCAAACAGGGUUCUUGCAGUCUUUCACUCUAAGCCACCCCAAAGAGAUUUGUAAACAUGAACUGAAGUAGCUCUGACCUUGCCAGGGAUGGAAGUACCACCUGUAAAACAACAAGGCUGUGUUUCUUUUAUGUCUUUACUCCAAGUGCCCUGGAGCGAGUGCAGUGACCUCUAAAGUUGGAGAGAUGCUUGGAGAAACCAUUUUCCAGACUCCCACUUGUGUUGAAAGGUCCCUGGCAAAUGGUGGACAAGAACUGACACAGAAUUUCUUGGGACCCUGGCAGAGAGAAAGAGAGAAGCAGCAAACGGUGUUGGGAGCGUUUCUAUUGAAAAUGGAGUUGCUGAGAUAAGUUUUAACAGUAAGAAAGCAGCAAGUUCUCUAGGGUGUGACAGUCUGUGAGCACUAAAUGGGUCCUAUUUUUAUAUUGUGGCAUCAGUGGUGGAGUCUAUGGAAUGCUGCCGUGCAACCCACCUGGGUGCUUGGCACAUCCUAGGUUUUUUCCCCUCUCUUGUCACAUCAGAACCCCCUGACAUCCUCAGGUCCAGAGGAACUUUGAGAAAAAGGAUUCCCAGUGAGACAAGCAAGGUAAUGUUUUUGUUAUGGAUUUGUUUGGAAAAUUCUGCAAGAAAAUAAUUUCCACCUGUGUUUGGGGUUUUUGUUUGGUUUAUUUUUCUUUUGUUUUGUUCGGUGGUGUU